UUAAGCUUAAAAAGCGCGUGCAACUGUGGUUAGAACACAGAACAAAACCGAACCACAAAACAGACACGUACGUCACACUAGUGUGACACUUUGGUAGAGUGGAAAGUGAGCCGUGGAGCUAAAAAAUAAAGUAUCACCCUCGAACUAAUACUCUGUUGCUCGGCUCUUUUCUGCCGACCUGCAUCAUGAUCUGUUGGUGAAGCGGAUCCCUGCUACAACUCAAAGUUAAUGAAAACUAAUCACUUGUUUGUUCACCCGGGGGGUUGUGGCUUUACGGCCGCGGGAUGGUUCAUCAAUUGAUCUACCUCCUGCAUUGCCUCACCGCCGCUCAGCCCGCACCGUCUGCCGCACUUGACUGACCGCCGUGAAAUUGUCAUCGCGGAAACAAAAAGAGAUUACCACGGUCGUACCACGCCACGCUCGUCCCUGCAGAGCUUACCUUCCUGUACAAUACUAUCCUCAACACCCUGUGCACACCCACCCGACCGAGACCGAGACACAUUUGACAAAUGGAAUCGAAAAAGCGAUUGCCGAUAUUUAUUGCCCCCGAUGUACGGGAUCGGGACCCCACUUCACCAACGCACCCCUACCCAGGCGAAGGCAGUAUCGGGGUGCAUCAUACCGUUUGGAAAAUUGUGGAAGGUGGCUUUUGUGACGCGUCGUUGCUGCACCCCCCAAGCGCAAAACGGUCAGAAUUAAUGAUAACGAUAAAUUUAACGUCCCCUUAACGUCCCCUUAUCGCAAAGGGGAGUGGGAAGGGAAAGGGCUGCAACAAAUGAGCUCGCGUCACGCAUGCAGCCUUGCGCACCACCGUUGCAGGCCCAAUCUGUGUACCGGUGUUACGGUUCACGGGCAGGCUCGGAGGCUUUGUGUAAGUUUUUAAUUUAUUUUAUCCACCAGAGCCGAGCUUUUAAUCUCCGAUCGAAUGAUAGCUGGUGGUUGAGUUUUGGGUUCGCUUUUGUGCUGAGGGUGGGUAGGGAUGUAUGUACUAUUUACGGUGGCUCUUUUGCAGCCGAACUCUCAAGGGAUAGAAAAUUAUUCACUCAUCGGUGAUUGAAUAUUCAAUUAUAAAGGUAACACUUGGCUGUUGGUGGCGCGGCCUUGUAAAUCAUUCAUGGAAAAAUAAUUAACUUUUUUGUUUCGGUCUCCCCCGACAAUCCCGUGGAAUGAUUAUUGGGCAUCAAUUGCUGUAAUUAUUAGUCUGGACUGGUUUACAACUGUAUGUGCGGUUUAACGGCAUUGCAUUCCAAUAAUUAACCGCCCAGUGCUUGGAAGCGAUAAAAUAAACAAGGCAGAGUUAAUAUAGCAUAUAAAAUUCCGAAUUGCUUUCAUAGACAGCCCUCUUAGAAGUGCCUAUUAACGUAAAGUUUGUACCCCGUUCAAAUCUGCAGCGUCCAUGGACACCAAACAAUUGCGAAGAAGUUCAUUCACAAAAUGUAAAAAUGAGUAAUGUUCGUAGAACUCGCGCAGAUUAUUUCAGUUGGAAAAUGCUUUUCGAAAGAAACACCAGUAAUGUUCAUAUUGACUAGUAUGGCAAACGGAAAAGGAAACAAUUGCAGGCUCAGAAUAGGCAAUGAUUCCAGUACCAGUAUAGUUAUACUAUUAGUUCCAUUAUCAGGACAUAUUCAGUUAUAUUUCAACCCCCGGACUCAAAUCGGCUGUAGUUCCAGGAUCGGUGUUAGUUCGAUAUUCGAGGACUGGAACAAGUUGAUGAUUAGGUACUGUACCUGUACAACUUCAGAUUCAGCACCAGGACAGGGACAUGCCCGAUUGCGAACGAAAGUUGCCCGCUGAUGGGAUAGCUGAUACGAUCGGAUAGCUAAAUUCCAAGUGGAUCCUAUUGGUAUUGCAUAUUCCUCAAGAGUAGUCUGAGGAGGUCAAGGUUCGUUAGUCAAAGGGCCCCAACUUCCAUCGUUCACGAUCCACGAGACCCCCAAAUCUACGAGGCACCGGGCAACCAAUGUUGAAUUCGCUACUGCAUAUUGUUAGAAUAGAUAAACACUUUUUACUUGAACGGCAUGAAUUUUAGUUGAACGCCCUAUAGUUCAAUUCAAAGACAAAAAAAGAUAGACAGUUCAAUAAAAACACUUCCGAUUGUAUGACGACCCCGA